GUGGCAAGUAAAACACUACACUGGCCUCAAGAAAAGGCCAAGAGCAUAACUACAGCAUCUUAGGUCACAUCUAUUGUCUUUGGAGCUUUGCUAUUCUGUUGCUCAAGGUUUCUUUACUUCAACCUCAAAAAGAUGAAGCUUUAUUAUUUUCUGUGCAGUUUUUGUCCCAUGACAAGAUGAACCUCACAAGACCUACAGGAAAGUUUACCAUCUGCCUUAAAACUUAAAAUGUGCCAUCUGUUCAUCAGAAUAAAAGAGUACUAAAAUA